UUCAACUUUAGCGGCGGACGGGUGAGUAACACGUGGGCAACCUGCCCUGCAGAUCGGGAUAACUCCGGGAAACCGGUGCUAAUACCGAAUAGUUUUCGCCACCUCCUGGUGGCGUACGGAAAGACGGUUUCGGCUGUCACUGCAGGAUGGGCCCGCGGCGCAUUAGCUAGUUGGUGGGGUAACGGCCCACCAAGGCAACGAUGCGUAGCCGACCUGAGAGGGUGAUCGGCCACACUGGGACUGAGACACGGCCCAGACUCCUACGGGAGGCAGCAGUAGGGAAUCUUCCGCAAUGGACGAAAGUCUGACGGAGCAACGCCGCGUGAGUGACGAAGGUUUUCGGAUCGUAAAACUCUGUUGUGAGGGAAGAACAAGUACCACUUAACUACUGGUACCUUGACGGUACCUCACCAGAAAGCCACGGCUAACUACGUGCCAGCAGCCGCGGUAAUACGUAGGUGGCAAGCGUUGUCCGGAAUUAUUGGGCGUAAAGCGCGCGCAGGCGGUCCCUUAAGUCUGAUGUGAAAGCCCACGGCUCAACCGUGGAGGGUCAUUGGAAACUGGGGGACUUGAGUGCAGAAGAGGAAAGUGGAAUUCCACGUGUAGCGGUGAAAUGCGUAGAGAUGUGGAGGAACACCAGUGGCGAAGGCGACUUUCUGGUCUGUAACUGACGCUGAGGCGCGAAAGCGUGGGGAGCAAACAG
rnacentral:rRNA from 2 species